rnacentral:rRNA from 1 species
CCUACGGGAGGCAGCAGUGGGGAAUAUUGCACAAUGGGGGAAACCCUGAUGCAGCGACGCCGCGUGAGUGAAGAAGUAUUUCGGUAUGUAAAGCUCUAUCAGCAGGGAAGAAAAUGACGGUACCUGAUUAAGAAGCAGCGGCGAACUACGUGCCAGCAGCCGUGGUGAUACGUAGGGGGCAAGCGUUAUCCGGAUUUACUGGGUGUAAAGGGGGCGUAGACGGCAGCACAAGUCUGGAGUGAAAUGCCGGGGGUUAACCCCGGAACUGCUUUGGAAACUGAGCAGCUAGAGUGCAGGAGAGGUAAGUGGAAUUCCUAGUGUAGCGGUGAAAUGCGUAGAUAUUACGAGGAACACCAGUGGCGAAGGCAGCUUACUGGACUGUAACUGACGUUGAGGCUCGAAAGCGUGGGGAGCAAACAGGAUUAGAUACCCUGGUAGUC